CAGGAUAUAGCUCAGUUUGGUAGAGCGUCUGCUUUGGGAGCAGAAUGUCGUAGGUUCGAAUCCUGCUAUCCUGACCA
rnacentral:tRNA from 5 species